rnacentral:rRNA from 1 species
AAUAUUGGACAAUGGGGGCAACCCUGAUCCAGCGAUGCCGCGUGUGUGAAGAAGGCCUGCGGGUUGUAAAGCACUUUAGUUGGGGAGGAGAUUUUGAGUGUAAAUAAUGCUUGAAUGAGACGUUACCCAAAGAAUAAGCACCGGCUAACUCUGUGCCAGCAGCCGCGGUAAUACAGAGGGUGCGAGCGUUAAUCGGAAUUACUGGGCGUAAAGGGCGCGUAGGUGGUUAAUUAAGUUAGUUGUGAAAUCCCAGGGCUCAACCUUGGAAUGGCAAUUGAUACUGGUUAACUAGAGUCGAAGAGAGGGUAGCGGAAUUUCCGGUGUAGCGGUGAAAUGCGUAGAUAUCGGAAGGAACACCAGUGGCGAAGGCGGUUACCUGGCUUCAGACUGACACUGAGGCGCGAAAGCGUGGGGAGCGAACAGGAUUAGAUACCCCGGUAGUCCACGCCGUA